rfam:Triticum aestivum genome assembly, contig: Triticum_aestivum_CS42_TGACv1_scaffold_273014_3DS
GUCCCUUCAGGGACAUCCGAUAAAAUUACAACGAUACAGAGAAGAUUAGCACAUCCCUGCACAAGGAUGACAUGCAUAAAUAGAAAAUUGAUCAUAGUGUUU